CCAUAAUUUUCUAAAGAGAAAGCUAGGAGCUGGUAUCAGGCCCAGUGUAAGCCCAAGACACCUUGCUUAGCCACACCCCCAAGGGUAUAACAGCAGUAGUAAACAUUAAGCAAUAAGUGAAAACUUGACUUAGCUACAGUUAAUAGGGCCGGUAAACACUCGUGCCAGCCACCGCGGUGAAACGAGGUGGCCCAAAUUGAUAACUACGGCGUAAAGGGUGGUUAAAACCUAUUAAACUAGAACCAAACCCCCUCAUUAUUGUGACAAGUUUGCUGGGGAAAGAAGCACUAUAGACGAAAGUAGUUCUACACAUUUGAAACCACGAAGACUAGGGUUACAAACUGGGAUUAGAGACCCCAUUAUGCCUAGUAGCAAACCCCGAUAACCUCUUACAUAAUUAUCCGCCCGGGUACUACGAGCGUGAGCUUAAAACCCAAAGGACUUGGCGAUGCUUUAGACCUUCUAGAGGAGCCUGUUCUAUAACCGAUGAACCCCGUUAAACCUCACCCCCUUUAGCCCUUUAUCCGCCUGUAUACCUCCGUCGUCAGCUUUCCCUUUAAAGGAUUAAAAGUAAGCAAGAUUGGUUUCACCUCCCCAAUACGUCAGGUCAAGGUGCAGCUUACAAGGGGGGCAGGAAUGGGCUACAUUUACUAAAUUAGUAGAUACGGACAGGGCACUGAAAUAUGCCCCUGAAGGAGGAUUUAGUAGUAAAAGAGGAAUAGAGCGCCCCUUUGAAAUAGCCCCUUAAGCGCGCACAAACCGCCCGUCACUCUCCCCGCUUAGUGCAAUCUUAUUUACCUAAAACAACAAAUUUGUAAUAUUUAGGGGAGGCAAGUCGUAACACGGUAAGCGUACCGGAAGGUGCUCUUGGCACAA
rnacentral:ncRNA from 1 species